rnacentral:rRNA from 1 species
GAUGAACGCUGGCGGCGUGCCUAACACAUGCAAGUCGAGCGGUAUAUAUUGGAUUGAAACUUCGGUCGAAUGAAGAUAUAGAGAGCGGCGGACGGGUGAGUAACGCGUAGGCAACCUGCCCCAUACAGAGGGAUAGCCUCGGGAAACCGGGAUUAAAACCUCAUAACGCGAGGGAUUCACAUGGACCUCUCGCCAAAGAUUUAUCGGUAUGGGAUGGGCCUGCGUCUGAUUAGCUAGUUGGUGGGGUAACGGCCUACCAAGGCGACGAUCAGUAGCCGACCUGAGAGGGUAAUCGGCCACAUUGGAACUGAGACACGGUCCAAACUCCUACGGGAGGCAGCAGUGGGGAAUAUUGCACAAUGGGCGAAAGCCUGAUGCAGCAACGCCGCGUGAGCGAUGAAGGCCUUUGGGUCGUAAAGCUCUGUCCUUGGGGAAGAAAAAAUGACGGUACCCUUGGAGGAAGCCCCGGCUAACUACGUG